UAUCUGAAUCAUGCUUAUUAUUAACUCAGUGAAUAAAGCGUGUCAGCGCUCUGAGACGCACAGUAAUUUCCGUUUGGUUGAAUAGGGAUACCUAUUCGAUUGGGCGGCUAUGGUAUAGUGAUAUACCGUAGGGAGGCGGAAACCACCAACAAAAAUGUGUGUUGCCAAGAGUUGUCGCUGCAAAAUGCACGGAACUUUCGGGCGUAGCAAUAGACGCUCCCAGUGGGAGAAUAAGCCUAAGGGGUUAUGGUGUGGCAACCAUAAUGACAGAGGUAGGCCAACAAUACGCUCCGUCUUGAUGCAGAAGAAAUUCUGCUAUAACGAAAGUCGCCGGUUAAAGUAGCCGUAUGACGGGUUUGAAGAUGAUCUUUUCUAUAUCAAAUAUGGAUUUUGUAAAAGAAAAUUUCUGAAAGAACGGUGAAAUUUGCGGGUAAGCAUUCCCGCACAGGUUUAUGUACGCAGCAUGGCUUAUCCUGUUGCGAUACUGGGGUAAGAAGUUAGGGGUCGCUCCCCGAAGCUCAGACUUAUCUUCCUGAUGGCAGAAAAUUGUAAGAAGACAAUGGAGGUAGGGUGAAGACCCAGUGAUAGGUAUGAUUGAGC
ncrna:unclassified sequences ROOL RNA